CGCGGAGUAGAGCAGUUGGUAGCUCGUCGGGCUCAUAACCCGGAGGUCGCAGGUUCAAAUCCUGUCUCCGCAA
rnacentral:tRNA from 1 species